rnacentral:tRNA from 1 species
UCCCGUUUAGCUCAGUUGGUAGAGCGCGUCACUAGUACCAUCUGCAAGGCAUUGUUUAUGACGAGGUCAGUCGUUCAAAUCGGCUAACGGGAA